GAUGAACGCUGGCGGCGUGCUUAACACAUGCAAGUCGAACGGAAAGGCCCAAGCUUGCUUGGGUACUCGAGUGGCGAACGGGUGAGUAACACGUGGGUGAUCUGCCCUGCACUUCGGGAUAAGCCUGGGAAACUGGGUCUAAUACCGGAUAGGACCACAUUUUGGAUGGUGUGGUGGAAAGUUUUUCGGUGUGGGAUGAGCUCGCGGCCUAUCAGCUUGUUGGUGGGGUAAUGGCCUACCAAGGCGUCGACGGGUAGCCGGCCUGAGAGGUGUACGGCCACAUUGGGACUGAGAUACGGCCCAGACUCCUACGGGAGGCAGCAGUGGGGAAUAUUGCACAAUGGGCGCAAGCCUGAUGCAGCGACGCCGCGUGGGGGAUGACGGCCUUCGGGUUGUAAACUCCUUUCGCUAGGGACGAAGCGUUUUUGUGACGGUACCUGGAGAAGAAGCACCGGCUAACUACGUG
rnacentral:rRNA from 1 species